UACAGAGGUCUCAACCGCUGUUCGGAUUCAUUGGGCGUAAAGGGUGCGUAGGCGGUCGCGCAAGUCGGAUGUGAAAUCUCGAGGCUCAACCUCGAAACUGCAUUCGAUACUGCGUGGCUAGAGUGCUGGAGGGGAGACUGGAAUUUACGGUGUAGCAGUGAAAUGCGUAGAUAUCGUAAGGAAGACCAGUGGCGAAGGCGAGUCUCUGGACAGCAACUGACGCUGAGGCACGAAGGCCAGGGGAGCAAACGGG
rnacentral:rRNA from 1 species